rnacentral:rRNA from 1 species
CCUACGGGUGGCAGCAGUGAGGAAUAUUGGUCAAUGGACGAGAGCCUGAACCAGCCAAGUCGCGUGAAGGAAGAAGGUCCUGAGUGUUGUAAACCUCUUUUACCAGGGGACAAAACGUGCCACGUGUGGGCUUCAGAGUGUACCUUGUGAAUAAGCAUCGGCUAACUCCGUGCCAGCAGCCGCGGUAAUACGGAGGAUCCGAGCGUUAUCCGGAUUUAUUGGGUUUAAAGGGUGCGAAGGCGGCGUGUCAAGUCAGCGGUAAAAUGUGGGGGCCAAACCCCGGACGGCCGUUGAAACUGGCGGGCUUGAGUUGGAGAGAAGUAGGCGGAAUUCGUGGUGUAGCGGUGAAAUGCAUAGAUAUCACGAAGAACCCCGAUUGCGAAGGCAGUACACCGGAUCGAAACUGACGCUGAGGCACGAAAGCGUGGGUAUCGAACAGGAUUAGAUACCCGGGUAGUC